rnacentral:lncRNA from 1 species
UUUUUUCCACCUAGAGUAGGGAUAUCAUUGCAGAUCCAAAACAUGGGUGUCUAGAGUUUGGGGAGACCAAAAGAUGACAUCAAUAUGAAAAGAAAACAAAAUAGAGAAUAAGAGAGCAUGAAACAUCCUUUUUGUGGAUAUCUCGCUCCCUUAGGAACAAGAUUAACAUGUCCCUGCUUCCAUUUAAUUGGAUUUAUUGUUAGUUUAUAAGUUACUCUUGUCUCUUGUUGAUGAAUAACAUUAUUCCUAUGAACUCAUAAAACAAACUUUAUACUAAUCUAGCUAUUGAGCAUCAUCAAGCCAUGCAGCACAAGUGAAAAAGCCUUUAAUUAGAUACUGAAGUUUGUGCUUCAAGAGAGAACGAAACUGAGAGGCAAACUUAUUGGCAAGGCAAACCUUGCAGAUUUGGCAAAUGUAAUGCUGUAAACAGCGUGAGCAACCUGGGGAGAAAGAGUAGCAUUGGUCUAGCCGAAAAAUGAAUUGGUCCUUUUUGUGCCAAAGUAGAAAUGCUAGGUUAAUGACAGAGGUGGGAUUUCUUUGAUCAUCGGGGAGAAAUUGAGAUGGGCACAGUUCAGAUUUAUGAAACCAUUCAUGAAUCCCAUCAGGUCAUUACUUUUUCGGACAGGAACAAGUUGAGAUAACCAUACCAGAUAGUGGAAGCCAUCUAACUUAGCAGCAACCAGUUGGCUAAGAUUAGGAGCAACAAAAGAGAUACUUUGAGAAGCAGAGGAUGCGUCAGCCAUGGAAGGUAAUAGGAUUGGAUCAGAA